CUUUGGUUACACUUAUAGAGAUAAUGGCUUCAUAGAAGGCCAAUUGUUACUGUUGGAAAUAACUACAAGAAACAAACACAUCACACAGCGGAAUCCAACUGCUACUUUUUGACGUAGUCCACCUCGAUACCUGCGCUGUAUUCCACUCAGCCCUCACGCCGUUUUUCCAUGGAGACAGGACUGAAUAUGCCUACACGAAAAAAAGGCAGAUAUAAAAGGUAAUUAUGAAAAGCUGGUGGCAUUGUUGUUUACGUUUCCUCUUUCCAAAAUAAAAGUUACAGUUAUCAAAUUGUAUCAUGUGCCAUUCAUAUAUUUAGAUUUUUAGACCCUGAUUUGCUUGAUGAGGUGUUCAGAUCACCACAAAAAUCUGUUCGGCCUGGGUUGGUCGUCUGAAAAUUAAAAUCCUUUCUGAACUUUCCAAGAUAUUAUUAAUUUAGGAAAAUUGGCAUAUGACAUAAAACGUAGAACAGAACUAGCAGUGUAGAAUAGAGAAAAAAAGAAAGAAAGAAAAAUAAAUAAAUAAAGAGGACCCCUUUUGCAUACGUUUUUUUUUUUUAAUUGCAUUGAAUUAGCUUUGGGACAACCUGAAGUUUACAGGACUUAACAGGGUAAAAAUCCUAUAAGAAAUUUUGAUCUUAUUUAAAAAUCCUAUUGGAAUUUUACAAUCCUAUUGGACAAGUUUGUAAUCCUAUAGGACUGUAACAAUGAACAUACAAAUCCUAUUGGAAUAUCAAGAAAUCCUAAAGGAUUCUUACAAUCCUGUAGAAUCCUAUUGGA